rnacentral:misc_RNA from 1 species
UGAAAGGCGAAACGUAAUGUGAAUCGCAACUAACAGUGAAUCAUUGAAUCUUUGAACGCAGGCCGCACCCAGCAAUAUCACUACGUGUUAUUACUGGGUAUCUACGUAUGAGUGUCAGCCCAAUAUCUUUUCAGUUCAAGAUCAAGAUUGAGUAAUCAAUUGGAUAUCUUGAGCUUUUUUUUAAACUCCCGGCAUCUCCUUUAGCUUGCUAGAGGGGGUGUUUGGGAGUUUUUUUUUAACAAAAUUUUUUGUCUGGCCUCAUAUGUGGAAGAUUACCCGCUGGAUUUAA